AGGAAACCUGGGGUCUUGGGACAAAAGGACAAUCCAGGAAAAAAAACCUCAGCAAUGUCCUAAUCACAUGAUGCUAACAUGGGAGGGAGCUUACAAAGUUCUUUCACAUCCAUUCCUCGGUUCUUAUAACAGCCUCAUGAGUGGGCAGGGCAGGGUUUAUAAUUCUCUUUUUACAAGUGAAGGAACUCAGGCUCAGAGCUGGCAGGACUUGUCUCCAAGUUCUCAGGGGAGUCUGGAUUAGAACCCAGGGCUCUGGAUUGGCCCAAGCCACCCCAGGAACUAGACUAGAGGCUACCACUGUUUGGCCCACACCCCUUUACCACUGCCACACCCAGGAAAAACAAGGUCCCGUAGAACAGCCGUGUAGCACCAUUCAGAACUGCCCUCUGCCCCGUGCCAAGCAGAAAAAGUGUGAGGUCUGCGAGUCAUCCUGCUACAGCCGGAGACUCAGCCUGAACCAGUCAGCGUGAAUGUGAGACCCUGCGAACAUGGAGGCCGGUAAAGAGGGGGAAUUUCAUGCGGAGAAGAGCAGCCUGUUCACUUCUAACUUCCCUUUCCGCUGAGAGCCACCCA
rnacentral:lncRNA from 1 species